UGUGUUGAAGCUGCGCCGAAGAGACAUCGAAGAGCUACCGAAAUCGAUCGGAAGUUUGAUCCAGCUCCGGUACUUGGACCUCGCAAAUACGGGUAUCAGAACACUGCCCCAAUCGAUCAGUAAGCUAUAUAAUCUACAGACAUUGAUCCUAAGGAACUGCAAUUUCCUAACCGAGAUACCUCGUGGUAUCACCAAUCUGAUCCAUCUGCGACAUCUCGAAGCAACCAGCACGUUGAUCUCUGGAAUAGCUGGAUUAGGAUGUCUAACCUGCCUUCAAGAAUUAGAACGAUUC
rnacentral:lncRNA from 1 species